AGUCCGUUGUUAUCAUUGUGGUUGUCGUUGUCGUUGACGCUGACGCUGUCGGUGUCAUUGGCGAUAUCAUUACUAUCAUUUUUAUUAUUACCAGUAAUUUAAAACAUUUUGAAAAAAGAUCGGUAAUUUGGUCACUUAUGGGCUGAUUCGAUAGAGGGUCUCAUUUCAAUGCAUGUUUGCCCCUGCAAGCAUACAUUGUUUGCCCCUAUCAAGCAUGCAGCCUGAUAAGACGUAAUAUUUCUUCUUGCAUACAUCAUUGUGAGUGUUGUUAAUUAUCUUUUUUAUUUUCUAGGUGGAGGAGGAGGUGGUGGUGGUGGUGGUGGAGGAGGAGCAACUCCUCCCCCGCCCCCGGUGCCAACCAAGCCGGGUGGAGGAGGAAAUUGUAAGGAUAUCUGGCCAGAAAGUUUUUGCAAAAUAUACAAGCAAUCUUGCAGUCAUCCAGGCAUCGGACCCAACUGCAAAUACACAUGCCAAAUGUGCUAAUUACUGAACCAAGGCUAGUCUUGAAGACUUCGCGGGAGAAAAAAAAGUUGGAAGAAUAAUAAAUAUUGCUGAAAAAUGACCACU